GGGGGCGAUUUGGCUUCGACGCGGAUGUCAACGCCCAAGGUGCAUGCCGAGGUCGCGACUCACCUCGUAAAACCAGUUGCAAUUAAAGCUAGUUGCAAACGACGACAACUACGCCGUAGCGGCAUAAAACCCGCUGCUGCCCAUCCGGCAAGUGUCUGUACUUCUGGAACCGGGUAUCGACUCUUACAGACUCGCGAUAAAGCCCCACUCCGGGCCGAUUCGUUAAUAGUAAACGGAGGUAAGCCAACGCGGUCCCUGUUCGCCGGGCAACGUUGGCCGACAACCGAAGGCGAAAUAAGCAUGUAGACCCGAGGGUGGCGAAUCCGUGGACGCGGGUUCGAAUCCCGCCGCCUCCACCA
rnacentral:tmRNA from 1 species